CAAUGGGAAGGGGGAAAAUGGGAUUGUAACCCCAGUGCUGGAUGCCAGGGGCUGGCAGGGCAGCCACUGUGGAGGAGCCAGGAGGGGACACGAGAGCUGGGAUCUGGUGCCAGGCCCUGGAGCCAAGGGGACAGAGCCAGGUAAGGGCUCCAGGGAUGACUCCUGCCCCAGGCUGGAGCAGGAGGUGGCCCUGGAAGCCCAGGAAGGGAUGGGCACCCUGAGGGCAGAGCUGGGGCUGUGGGUGACGGUGUCCCUGACACAGGACUGGCCUGGCACUGCUGGGACACACCUGGGACACCUGUCACCGGUGCCACACGGACCUGCAGAGCACGGUGAGGUGACCUUGGGCUGGCACUGCUGCAGGUGGCAGGGACAGGCUGGGGUGGCUGUGCUGGCUCUGCUUUGCUGCUCCUGGGGUGAUGGCAGGGCCAAAGCCGGCUCCUGGAAGAGAAAAAGGUGUGGGGAUGGGAAAAGAGGAGGUUUCUGCCGUCUUGGCAGGGGCAGGGAGCCCGUGUGAGCCAGGAGCAGCUGGACAAGGAGAGAAGGAAAAUAACAACUUCAGAAGAAGAGAAACUGGAGCUGCUGGAGGUCAGAGCACUCCUGGUUUUCCAGAGGGGCCAGGAUCACACGGGAGGGGCCGUGGGAAGGAGCACACACAUCACACACUGCCACAGCUCAGCCCCUUUUCCAGCAUCCCAUGGGAAACAUUCCUGCCACCCAAAUUCCUACAGAGCCCAGCUGGAUUUAUCCACAGCAGGGUUUAUUGAGGGACUGAGGCUUUUAGGAGAAGAAUUUGUUGGGAAAACCGCCCUUGUGGCCGUGGGCAGCCUGGGGUCAGCGUGUGCAGCUCAGAGGGUCCCUGGAGAGCCUGGGCAGAGGCAGGAGAGCUGGAAUGUUGGGAAGGGCAGAGAAGCAGGCAGGGCUGGAGGCUGGGUGAGAAUUCCUGGGCACCGACCCAGCAAACCUCAGCCCUUUAACAAUGGGCAGUGAGGAUGGGAUCCUGCCCUGAGCCCUCCGGGGCUGUGGGGUGGCCCUGGGCAGCCCAGGGUGACUCCGCUGGUCCUGCAGAGGCUGCGGGAGCUGGAGCGGGGCAGCCGCCACCUCCUGCGGCAGCGGCUGCGGGUCCUGCACCGCCUGCAGGGGCUGCUGCAGAGGGACCGGGCCCAGAGCCUGCGGCUGCUCCGGGAGGCCAUGGAACAGGAGGAACUGGGGGGCAGAGCUGCCCUGAUCCCUCUGUCUCUGCCCCUCCAGGAGCCGCCUGGCAGCAGCGCCCGGUGGGAGCAUCGCCCGAGCCGGGCCGGGGGCUCCGCGGCCCUGGGGAACCCCCCGGUGGCCCUGAGGAACGCCCCGGUGGUUUUCCGGGGACACGGCCCCCGGCCUGGCACUGCCCUGGCACCGGGCCCCUCGCCGGCAGCCCUCAGGUGGGUGCCCGGAGGUGCUCAGGGGCACUGGGGUGUCCCACUGGUGCGACCCUCCCUCCCUGUCCCCUGCCUGUCCCCUGCCUCUCAUCGCUGCCCUCCCCAGCCGCGCUCUCCACGUCCUGCGGGGGCUCCGGCAGCAAAUCCAGCGGCGCCUCGGGCAGUGGCAGGGCCUGGAGGGAGCCCUGGGAGCCGCCGGGCAGAGGAACGAGGUGAUUUAGGACUGGGAGGGAGGACAUGGGGUGGGUGAGCCCCCAUUGUCACCCCUGGGGCAGUGCCAGCCCCUGUGCAGGGCGCGGGCCCAGCCGAGUGUGUGUCCCUGUGCAGGAGGGGGAGCAGAGGCAGCGGCCACAGAAGGUCCCAGGAGCCCCAAGGGAGCCCCCGGUCCAGGUGAAUCAGGCCCCGGGUCCUUCCCCGAGGCCGGGCUGGGGUUCAGGGGGACAGGCCUCAGGGGUUGGGGUCUCUGAGAGCCUCGGGGACCCCCAGAUCCCCUCCAGAGGCUCCGUGUCCAGGUCCUGCCUGCUGGAAUGUCCAUCGGGUGACACUGUGUGUGUGUCCUGCCACUGCAGCUGCCCCGUGUCCAUGGCUGAGCUCCAAGGCACGAGGAGCCAGGAAUAUGUGGGCAGGAUCCUCCUGGAGCUCCCAGCCCGGGGCUGAGCUGCCCUUUCCCUCUCCUGUGCAGGGACAGAGGGAAUGUCCCCAUCCCGCCUCCAUCCCUGAGCUCCCCCAGCCCGGCCGGGGCUCCCCGGGGCUCCUGCAGCACCUCCAGCACCUCCAGCACCACCUCCGGGAGCUGCAGCUGGAGCAGACCCAGAGCCCAGGGAGCCGCUCUGCCCUGGGGGCACCGCUGGGCACCAGGGCCAGGCAGGGGCUGGGGGCUCCCCCUGUGCCCCAGCCCCGCUGCUGACCCAGGGGAGCAAGGGGGGCUCCAGUGUGGGGCGCAGUUCCUGCUGGAACAGCCCUGUGGCCCCAGGCAGUCCCACCACCAUCAAUCCGUGCCUCCAGGAGAGCCCAGGGCCUGUGUUGAUCCUGGGGGAAUCAAGAGGAAUGGCCAUAUGUGACGGUGUUCACAGGGGUUUUGAGAUGAGGGAAGAUACAAGGAUCUGACUCCAUGUUUCAGGAGGCUUGAUUUUUUAUUUUAUGAUAUUUAUUAUAUUAAAACUAUACUAAAAGAAUAGAAGAAAAGGUUUCAUCUCAGAAGGCUCGCUAAGCUAAG
rnacentral:lncRNA from 1 species